rnacentral:sRNA from 1 species
UCCAGGUUGAGAAGCGCCUGGCGGUGGGUGCCCUGACGGAGCAGGCGGGACUGCUGUUGCACGUGGCCAACCUGGCCACCAUUCUGUGUUUCCCAGCGGCUGUGGUCUUACUGGUUGAGUCUAUCACUCCAGUGGGCUCCCUGCUGGCGCUGAUGGCGCACACCAUCCUCUUCCUCAAGCUCUUCUCCUACCGCGACGUCAACUCGUGGUGCCGCAGGGCCAGGGCCAAGGCUGCCUCUGCAGGGAAGAAGGCCAGCAGUGCUGCUGCCCCGCACACCGUGAGCUACCCGGACAAUCUGACCUACCGCGGUGAGGACCUCUGUGGGCCUGAGGUGCGGGGGACAGGCUAGGCCUGUUCUGGCACCAACCCCCCAUUCCCAUUCCAGAUCUCUACUACUUCCUCUUCGCCCCCACCUUGUGCUACGAGCUCAACUUUCCCCGCUCUCCCCGCAUCCGGAAGCGCUUUCUGCUGCGACGGAUCCUUGAGAUGCUGUUCUUCACCCAGCUCCAGGUGGGGCUGAUCCAGCAGGUAAGUGGGGUAGGGCAGGGUUGGGUGCAGCUGGGCAUGGCUGGGAGCUGACGUGGUGCCCUCCUUUGCAGUGGAUGGUCCCCACCAUCCAGAACUCCAUGAAGCCCUUCAAGGACAUGGACUACUCACGCAUCAUCGAGCGCCUCCUGAAGCUGGCGGUCCCCAAUCACCUCAUCUGGCUCAUCUUCUUCUACUGGCUCUUCCACUCCUGCCUGAAUGCCGUGGCUGAGCUCAUGCAGUUUGGAGACCGGGAGUUCUACCGGGACUGGUGGUGAGUGUCCCUGGGGUGUCCCUGGGGGCUGGGAUGGGCCAUGGUGUGCUCUGAUCCCCCUGUGGUCUCUUGGCCCCUAGGAACUCCGAGUCUGUCACCUACUUCUGGCAGAACUGGAACAUCCCUGUGCACAAGUGGUGCAUCAGGUAGGUGGGGUGUGUGUGUGUGUGAUGUGGAAGAUGGCUGUGAACCUGAACCACUUUUCACACUCCCCCCUCUGCAGACACUUCUACAAGCCCAUGCUUCGACGGGGCAGCAGCAAGUGGAUGGCCAGGACAGGGGUGUUCCUGGCCUCGGCCUUCUUCCACGAGUACCUGGUGAGCGUCCCUCUGCGAAUGUUCCGCCUCUGGGCGUUCACAGGCAUGAUGGCUCAGAUCCCACUGGCCUGGUUCGUGGGCCGCUUUUUCCAGGGCAACUAUGGCAACGCAGCUGUGUGGCUGUCGCUCAUCAUCGGACAGCCAAUAGCCGUCCUCAUGUACGUCCACGACUACUAUGUGCUCAACUAUGAGGCCCCAGCGGCAGAGGCCUGAGCUGCACCUGAGGGCCUGGCUUCUCACUGCCACCUCACACCCGCUGCCAGAGCCCACCUCUCCUACUAGGCCUCGAGUGCUGGGGAUGGGCCUGGCUGCACAGCAUCCUCCUCUGGUCCCAGGGAGGCCUCUCUGCCCCUAUGGGGCUCUGUCCUGCACCCCUCAGGGAUGGCGACAGCAGGCCAGACACAGUCUGAUGCCAGCUGGGAGUCUUGCUGACCCUGCCCCCGGGUCC